CCCUCGAUAGCUCAGUUGGAAGAGCAGAGGACUGUAGAUGUUACAACGGUGAUCCUUAGGUCGCUGGUUCAAAUCCGGCUCGAGGGA
rnacentral:tRNA from 1 species